rnacentral:rRNA from 1 species
AGAGUUUGAUCCUGGCUCAGGAUGAACGCUGGCGGCGUGCCUAACACAUGCAAGUCGAGCGAGAAAUAAAGGAAUGAAGCUUCGGUAGAUUUUCUUUAUGGAAAGCGGCGGACGGGUGAGUAACGCGUAGGCAACCUGCCCUGUACAGGGGGAUAGCCACCCGAAAAGGUGAUUAAUACCCCAUAACGCAAGAGAUACACAUGUAUCACUUGUCAAAGAUUUAUCGGUAUAGGAUGGGCCUGCGUCUGAUUAGCUAGUUGGUAGGGUAACGGCUUACCAAGGCAACGAUCAGUAGCCGACCUGAGAGGGUGAUCGGCCACAUUGGAACUGAGACACGGUCCAAACUCCUACGGGAGGCAGCAGUGGGGAAUAUUGCACAAUGGGCGAAAGCCUGAUGCAGCAACGCCGCGUGAACGAUGAAGGUCUUCGGAUCGUAAAGUUCUGUUGCAGGGGAAGAUAAUGACGGUACCCUGUGAGGAAGCCCCGGCUAACUACGUGCCAGCAGCCGCGGUAAUACGUAGGGGGCUAGCGUUAUCCGGAUUUACUGGGCGUAAAGGGUGCGUAGGUGGUCCUUCAAGUCGGUGGUUAAAGGCUACGGCUCAACCGUAGUAAGCCGCCGAAACUGGAGGACUUGAGUGCAGGAGAGGAAAGUGGAAUUCCCAGUGUAGCGGUGAAAUGCGUAGAUAUUGGGAGGAACACCAGUAGCGAAGGCGGCUUUCUGGACUGCAACUGACACUGAGGCACGAAAGCGUGGGUAGCAAACAGGAUUAGAUACCCUGGUAGUCCACGCUGUAAACGAUGAGUACUAGGUGUCGGGGGUUACCCCCCUCGGUGCCGCAGCUAACGCAUUAAGUACUCCGCCUGGGGAGUACGCACGCAAGUGUGAAACUCAAAGGAAUUGACGGGGACCCGCACAAGUAGCGGAGCAUGUGGUUUAAUUCGAAGCAACGCGAAGAACCUUACCUAAGCUUGACAUCCCUCGGACAGGUGUUUAAUCACACCCUUCCUUCGGGACUGAGGUGACAGGUGGUGCAUGGUUGUCGUCAGCUCGUGUCGUGAGAUGUUGGGU